GACGUAGGGCGCAAGCGUUGUCCGGAUUUAUUGGGCGUAAAGAGCUCGUAGGCGGUUUGUCGCGUCGACUGUGAAAACCCGCAGCUCAACUGCGGGCCUGCAGCCGAUACGGGCAGACUAGAGUUCGGCAGGGGAGACUGGAAUUCCUGGUGUAGCGGUGAAAUGCGCAGAUAUCAGGAGGAACACCGGUGGCGAAGGCGGGUCUCUGGGCCGAUACUGACGCUGAGGAGCGAAAGCGUGGGGAGCGAACAGG
rnacentral:rRNA from 1 species